rnacentral:rRNA from 1 species
UACGUAGGGUGCGAGCGUUAAUCGGAAUUACUGGGCGUAAAGCGUGCGCAGGCGGUUUUGUAAGCCAGAUGUGAAAUCCCCCGGGCUUAACCUGGGAAUGGCAUUUGGGACUGCAAGGCUGGAGUACGGCAGAGGAGACUGGAAUUCCUGGUGUAGCAGUGAAAUGCGUAGAGAUCAGGAGGAAUACCGAUGGCGAAGGCAGGUCUCUGGGCUGAUACUGACGCUCAUGCACGAAAGCGUGGGGAGCAACAGG